rnacentral:rRNA from 1 species
ACGCAAUAGAUACCCUGGUAGUCCACGCCGUAAACUAUGGAUGCUAGUUGUUGGCCGUAUCGACCCGGUCAGUAAACGAAAGCUAAACGCGUUAAGCAUCCCGCCUGGGGAGUACGGUCGCAAGAUUAAAACUCAAAGGAAUAGACGGGGACCCGCACAAGCGGUGGAGCGUGUUGUUUAAUUCGAGGCUAAGCGAAGAACCUUACCAGGGUUUGACAUCCUUGGAAUUUCUGUGAAAGCAGAGAGUGCCGCAAGGAACCAAGUGACAGGUGUUGCAUGGCCGUCGUCAGCUCGUGUCGUGAGAUGUUUGGUUAAGUCCAUCAACGAGCGCAACCCUUAUGAAUAGUUGGAUUUUUCUAUUCAGACUGCCCCGGUAACGGGGAGGAAGGAGGGGAUGAUGUUAGGUCUGUAUUACCCUUACACCCUGGGCUACAAACGCGCUACAAUGGCUAGUACAAAGGGCAGCUAAGUCGCGAGACGGAGCAAAUCCCAUCAAAGCUAGUCCCAGUUCGGAUUGCAGGCUGAAACUCGCCUGCAUGAAGUCGG